CCAUGUUGUCUCAGUUCUGACCUGAGUCCUUAUGUGAGUCCCUCCAAGACUUUGGGUACCUUGCCCAGAAAGAUAAAUUACACAGGUUAUAGCCAAAGGAACAUGUCAUAUUUGCUGGUGAUUGAGGAUUGAAAUGCUUCAACUGUGGGGAAAAGGGUUAGGACAUUGUGGUUUGCAGCUGCCACCCCAUUAUGGGCAAAACUUUCUAUGCCAAUGCCUUCACACUCUUAGGAGGUAUAGAAAGAAUUUUGCCCAUAGAAGACCAGAAUAAAAUCUGAGUGUUGCUUAAUAUUGUUCUAAGUGGAAACUGAAGGACUAGUAGAGAAGCUUUUCUUUCUUUGUUUUAUUUUCUUCCUGUGACCUGGUGUCCAGAAACAUCAACUCAUUGUUUCAUAUGAAUAACGAAGUUAGGCCAAGCCCCUCAAAUGGAUUCGAUCCUGGUUUCAGUUAUCAUCUCAUACAAGUUGUUCUUGGAGCUGUAUGUGAAAGCUGUUCUUGUGGGUUUUAGGUUGUUUGUUUGGGGUCAUCAAAUAGAAGGAAUCUGACCUCUGUGUGCCACCUGACAGGUAGAGUUGUAUGGAGUCAGAGUUAGAAGGAUGUAUGAGCUAAUUGGUUCUUGGCCUCACACUUCUCAGCGGAGGAUCAGCAGUCUCCCAGGCUAUAUUCCUUGGCUUCUCUCACCAAGCCCUGUUACUACCAAAAAGUGUUGGCUUGGUUGGUAUUUGUCAUUUAUGUCUGAGGUGGUCUGAGAGUUAGAACUGUUGAGUUCAAAAUGGUCAUUGUGGGGAAAUAAAGAUGUAUUAGCCUAAAGAGAAAUGCCACAAGCUUAUCUGAUGAUGAUAUAAUAAUACCACAUAGAUGAGUAUAAGACAUUUAUUAGCUUUUACUAUCUUCAUGGUACUGGUGCUAAGUAUUUAGUUUGGUUCUUAACUCUUACAACCAACCUAAUGGGAUAUUAAUAGAAAGUAGUGGUAAGUAAGAAUAAUUGUAGCAAUUACUGUGUCUACUUUAUGUGGAUUACCAUAUUUGAACCUCAUAAUUCUAUGAGCCAAAUACUUUUAUCUUUCCCAUUUUCCAGAUGAGUAAACAGAGGCUCAGAGAGGUUACAUAAAUUUGCCCAACGAGAUGGAAUAUUUAAUCAGUCAUCUAUUCCAAAGAUUGUGCAUGUAUGAACCAUGUAUCACCAUUUCUGGCCCACAAUAAUUAAACAGAAGCAUUCUUUAAAGGGCACUUAGCAAAUACUGAAUUGUGAUGAUGAAGCGAGAAGUAUUUUGGCCAAGAAGGUGCGUGCUUGUGUAUGUGCACACACCACACACACAUACACACACACACACAGUCAACUUCUGGUUUUCUACUUUGGGGAUAAUCCUCUGACGGUUAAUUCCAGAAUGUCAUCAUCUUUUUUACCCAGCACAUUCUCAC
rnacentral:lncRNA from 1 species